CGGACUAUGUCGGCCGAUUUCUACUAAACCUGGAGAAAUUGCCAUGCUUGUGUGAUUUUCAUCCGUUUUCCAAAAACUAAGAGGAUUGGCUGAACAAUCUUCGGUCAGUCAGAUAGGAAAAGUUCAGGAUUUGUCGGUGCUAAAGUCAGAAAUAACUCAGCUGACACAGGGAGAAAGCUGUGAGAUGGAAUUUUGUGAGGGCAAAGAUCCUGAGGCAGAACUCCACAAACAUUUUGUCCGCUGUAAGAAAAAUCCCGGCCACAAGAAAUUCAUUCCAGUUUCUC